ACGGGUGAGAUAAUGUAUAGUUGAUCUGCCCCUUGGUGGGGGAUAACAGUUGGAAACNACUGCUAAUACCCCAUACUCCUUCUCUAUUCAUUAGAGUCNGGNAAGUCUUUUCGCCAAGGGAUGAGACUAUAUGGCAUCAGCUUGUUGGUGAGGUAAGAGCUCACCAAGGCUAUGACGCCUAUCUGGUCUGAGAGGAUGAUCAGCCACACUGGAACUGAGACACGGUCCAGACUCCUACGGGAGGCAGCAGUGGGGAAUAUUGCACAAUGGAGGAAACUCUGAUGCAGCAACGCCGCGUGGAGGAUGACGCAUUUCGGUGUGUAAACUCCUUUUAUAUGGGAAGAUAAUGACGGUACCAUAUGAAUAAGCACCGG
rnacentral:rRNA from 1 species